rnacentral:rRNA from 1 species
UACGGGGGAGCAAGCGUUGUUCGGAUUUAUUGGGCGUAAAGAGCUCGUAGGCGGUUCAGUAAGUCGGGUGUGAAAACUUUGGGCUUAACCCAAAGCGUGCAUCUGAUACUGCUGUGACUUGAGUUCGGUAGGGGAGUGGGGAAUUCCUAGUGUAGCGGUGAAAUGCGCAGAUAUCAGGAGGAACACCGGUGGCGAAGGCGGGUCUCUGGGCCGAUGACUGACGCUGAGGAGCGAAAGCGUGGGGAGCGAACAGG